CUGCGAGGAAGAAGAAGAAUCUGA
rnacentral:sRNA from 1 species